AUUGAACGCUGGCGGCAGGCCUAACACAUGCAAGUCGAGCGGGGCGGCGGACGGGUGAGUAAUGCCUAGGAAUCGGCCUGGUAGUGGGGGAUGAAGUCCGGCAACGGGCGCUAAUACCGCCUCCUCUCAGAUGAGCAUAGGUCGGAUUAGCUAGUGGGUGGGGUAAGGGCUUACCAAGGCGACGCUCCGUAACUGGUCUGAGAGGAUGAUCAGUCACACUGGAACUGAGACACGGUCCAGACUCCUACGGGAGGCAGCAGUGGGGAAUAUUGGACAAUGGGCGAAAGCCUGAUCCAGCCAUGCCGCGUGUGUGAAGAAGGUCUUCGGAUUGUAAAGCACUUUAAGUUGGGAGGCGUUACCAACAGAAUAAGCACCGGCUAACUUCGUGCCAGCAGCCGCGGUAAUUC
rnacentral:rRNA from 1 species